CCUACGGGGGGCAGCAGUGGGGAAUAUUGCACAAUGGGGGAAACCCUGAUGCAGCGACGCCGCGUGAGUGAAGAAGUAUUUCGGUAUGUAAAGCUCUAUCAGCAGGAACGAGACAAGACGGUACCUGACUAAGAAGCCCCGGCUAACUACGUGCCAGCAGCCGCGGUAAUACGUAGGGGGCAAGCGUUAUCCGGAAUCACUGGGUGUAAAGGGAGCGUAGACGGCUGUGCAAGCCUGAAGUGAAAGGCGGGGGCCCAACCCCUGGACUGCUUUGGGAACUGUACGGCUAGAGUGCAGGAGAGGUGAGUGGAAUUCCUAGUGUAGCGGUGAAAUGCGUAGAUAUUAGGAGGAACACCAGUGGCGAAGGCGGCUUACUGGACUGUAACUGACGUUGAGGCUCGAAAGUGUGGGGAGCAAACAGGAUUAGAUACCCGGGUAGUC
rnacentral:rRNA from 1 species